rnacentral:rRNA from 1 species
CCUACGGGUGGCAGCAGUGAGGAAUAUUGGUCAAUGGACGCAAGUCUGAACCAGCCAUGCCGCGUGCAGGAAGACGGCUCUAUGAGUUGUAAACUGCUUUUGUACGAGGGUAAACGCCGUUACGCGUAUCUGUUUGAAAGUAUCGUAUGAAUAAGGAUCGGCUAACUCCGUGCCAGCAGCCGCGGUAAUACGGAGGAUCCAAGCGUUAUCCGGAUUUAUUGGGUUUAAAGGGUGCGUAGGCGGUCGGUUAAGUUAGAGGUGAAAUCCCGUGGCUCAACUUCGGAAUUGCGGCGGAUACUGUGCGGCUAGAGAGUAGUUGCGGUAUGCGGAAUGCAUGGUGUAGCGGUGAAAUGCUUAGAGAUCAUACAGAACACCGAUUGCGAAGGCAGCUUACCAAGGUACUUCUGACGUUGAGGCACGAAGGCGUGGGUAGCAAACAGGAUUAGAUACCCGAGUAGUC